GGGGUAACAUUGUAGCUUGCUACAGAUGACGACCGGCGCACGGGUGCGUAACGCGUAUAGAACUUACCUUUUACAGAGGGAUAGCCUUUAGAAAUGAAGAUUAAUACCUCAUAGUAUUGAGAACUGGCAUCGGUUUUUAAUUAAAGAUUUAUCGGUAAAAGAUGGCUAUGCGUCCUAUUAGCUAGAUGGUAAGGUAACGGCUUACCAUGGCUACGAUAGGUAGGGGCCCUGAGAGGGGGAUCCCCCACACUGGUACUGAGACACGGACCAGACUCCUACGGGAGGCAGCAGUGAGGAAUAUUGGGCAAUGGAGGAGACUCUGACCCAGCCAUGCCGCGUGCAGGAAGACUGCCCUAUGGGUUGUAAACUGCUUUUAUACAGGAAGAAACACUGCUACGUGUAGCAGCUUGACGGUACUGUAAGAAUAAGGACCGGCUAACUCCGUGCCAGCAGCCGCGGUAAUACGGAGGGUCCGAGCGUUAUCCGGAAUCAUUGGGUUUAAAGGGUCCGCAGGCGGUCGAUUAAGUCAGAGGUGAAAUCCCAUAGCUUAACUAUGGAACUGCCUUUGAUACUGGUUGACUUGAGUCAUAUGGAAGUAGAUAGAAUGUGUAGUGUAGCGGUGAAAUGCAUAGAUAUUACACAGAAUACCGAUUGCGAAGGCAGUCUACUACGUAUGUACUGACGCUCAUGGACGAAAGCGUGGGGAGCGAACAGGAUUAGAUACCCUGGUAGUCCACGCCGUAAACGAUGGACACUAGUUGUUGGGCAUUAGCUCAGUGACUAAGCGAAAGUGAUAAGUGUCCCACCUGGGGAGUACGAUCGCAAGAUUGAAACUCAAAGGAAUUGACGGGGGCCCGCACAAGCGGUGGAGCAUGUGGUUUAAUUCGAUGAUACGCGAGGAACCUUACCAGGGCUUAAAUGUAGUAUGACAGGUUUAGAGAUAGACUUUUCUUCGGACAUAUUACAAGGUGCUGCAUGGUUGUCGUCAGCUCGUGCCGUGAGGUGUCAGGUUAAGUCCUAUAACGAGCGCAACCCUUGUCGUUAGUUGCCAGCAUGUAAAGAUGGGGACUCUAACGAGACUGCCGGUGCAAACCGCGAGGAAGGUGGGGAUGACGUCAAAUCAUCACGGCCCUUA
rnacentral:rRNA from 1 species